rnacentral:rRNA from 1 species
UACGUAGGGGGCAAGCGUUGUCCGGAAUCAUUGGGCGUAAAGCGCGUGUAGGCGGUUCGGUAAGUCGGCUGUGAAAGUCCAGGGCUCAACCCUGGGAUGCCGGUGGAUACUGUCGGGCUCGAGUCCGGAAGAGGCGGAGUGGAAUUCCUAGUGUAGAGGUGAAAUUCGUAGAUAUUAGGAAGAACACCAGUGGCGAAGGCGGCUCACUGGCCCGGUACUGACGCUGAGGCGCGAA